rnacentral:lncRNA from 1 species
UCCUCUACAUUCUCUAUCUACACCCUCUUCCUAUCUCCAUUAGCAACCAUGGCUACCACCAUCCAUCCCACCAUCGGUGAAACCUCAGCUCUAUCUUUCAACCGAAAGUCAACGCCACCAUUAACACCGAUAAAACCCUAUCAACCCCGUGCCUCCACUAGCCACGAGCAUGUCGCCGUCACCCGGCGCUAGCAGCAACCGGCAGGGCAGCUAUAGCUUUCACCGAUGCUCCAUUCUACCUCUCCAUCACCACUUCCCAACAUUUAAACCAGAGCAACAACUGUCAUGCAACCAAUCACCAAUCAUCCCUCUUUACUCGGUUUCUUGGAAAUUCAUCCUAGGUUUAAUUUUGUGUUAAUUUGUAUGUCUUAGUUUAAUUAACUUCUACCUCCUUCUUUUAUUUUUCUUUGGAUAGAUUAUGUUAUCUGAAAUUGACUAAAAUCUAUUGAGAUUUUUGGAUUAA